rnacentral:lncRNA from 1 species
UACAGUCUGCAGCUUGGCACCUUGAGUAUAUUCUCACUGACACUCGCUUUAGAAGGGACAGUCACUUUCACUAUCCUAAGAUGCUAAGUACUGGAAUUCCCCUUCUGGAGAAGUUGCAGGCUGCUUUUUUUGUUGCUUUUGUGUAUUCUGUUCAUUGGGUUCUUGCUUUGUUUUUCCCCUUCUUUCCGUAGGUUAUGAAGCCAGAGGACAACUAUAACAGAUUCUCUCAAGUCCUUUGGUUUCCAGGGAUGGAACUCAGGCCAGCAAACCUGGUAGCAAGCAUCUUUCUUUACUUUCUUAGCCAGUUCACCAGCCCCUGGUGUGGGUUUGUUGUUGCUGGAACAGGGUAUCCUGUAGCUCAAGCUGGUCUCCAAUCAACCAGGAGGCAGCAUCCCCAGGCUUCGAGUUGAGAACCCAUCACUGGCAGCCAAAAUCUCUGGCAACUGGAAUCACAGUAUGGGCAUAACAGCCAAAGUCGAGGAUCUGUGGCUGGAGACUCAACUUCAUUCCUCAGACCCCUGUUUGCACCUGAAGGUGUUGGCGACCUCGUGCAUGGCAUCCCGCGCCACUUCUGCCAGCGGGGCCCAGUCUGCCAGCUGAGCUCAGGCUGCCGGUGAGUUGUGCUGCCCGGCUCUGUGCUCCAGCCCCGAAGACUCUCACAGGCAGAAGGGACCCUGCUGUUUUGGGGCGUGAUCAGAUUUCUGGACAGCUCUGAACGUUUCCACCUCUGGUGUCUGGGGAAGAGGGGUCGGGGCAGGGUGUAACCUGCCUACAGUUGAUUUUCAAAUUCGCAUGCGGCUUUUCUUCAUGUCUUCCUUUACUAAUUCUUGUGUUUGAUUUGUAACUGUACGCUUUUCUGAUUAUUUUUUAAAAAGCUAAAGAAUAAUUUCGUUUUUGUUUUUGUGUUUGUUUUUUGUUUUGUUUUGUUUUUGUUCUGG